rnacentral:rRNA from 1 species
AGUGAACGCUGGCGGUAGGCCUAACACAUGCAAGUCGAACGGCAGCACAGUAAGCGCUUGCUCUUACGGGUGGCGAGUGGCGGACGGGUGAGGAAUACAUCGGAAUCUACUUUUUCGUGGGGGAUAACGUAGGGAAACUUACGCUAAUACCGCAUACGACCUACGGGUGAAAGCAGGGGUUCUUCGGACCUUGCGCGUUUGAAUGAGCCGAUGUCGGAUUAGCUAGUUGGCGGGGUAAAGGCACACCAAGGCGACGAUCCGUAGCUGGUCUGAGAGGAUGAUCAGCCACACUGGAACUGAGACACGGUCCAGACUCCUACGGGAGGCAGCAGUGGGGAAUAUUGGACAAUGGGCGCAAGCCUGAUCCAGCCAUACCGCGUGGGUGAAGAAGGCCUUCGGGUUGUAAAGCCCUUUUGUUGGGAAAGAAAAGCAGCAGGUGAAUACCCCGCUGUUCUGACGGUACCCAAAGAAUAAGCACCGGCUAACUUCGUG